rnacentral:rRNA from 1 species
CCGUAGGUGACCUGCGGAAGGAUCAUUACAGAGUUCAUGCCCUCACGGGUAGAUCUCCCACCCUUGAAUAUUAUACCUUUGUUGCUUUGGCGGGCCGCUUUAGCUACCGGCUUCGGCUGGUGAGUGCCCGCCAGAGGGCCUAAAACUCUGAAUUUAUAGUGUCGUCUGAGUACUAUAUAAUAGUUAAAACUUUCAACAACGGAUCUCUUGGUUCUGGCAUCGAUGAAGAACGCAGCGAAAUGCGAUAAGUAAUGUGAAUUGCAGAAUUCAGUGAAUCAUCGAAUCUUUGAACGCACAUUGCGCCCCUUGGUAUUCCGAGGGGCAUGCCUGUUCGAGCGUCAUAUAAACCCCUCAAGCUCAGCUUGGUGUUGGGGCCUGCCGCCUGGCAGCCCUUAAAAUCAGUGGCGGUGCCAUCUGGCUCUAAGCGUAGUAAUUCUUCUCGCUAUGGAGUCCCGGUGGAUGCUUGCCAUUAACCCCCAAUUUUCUAUGGUUGACCUCGGAUCAGGUAGGGAUACCCGCUGAACUUAAGCAUAUCCAUAAGCGGGAGGAAAAGAAACCAACAGGGAUUGCCUUCAGUAACGGCGAGUGAAGCGGCCACAGCUCAAAUUUGAAAUCUGGCUCUUUCAGGGUUCGAGUUUGUAAUUUUGUAGAAGAUGCUUCGGGGUGUGGCUCCGGUCUAAGUUUCUUGGAACCAGGACGUUCAUAGAGGGGUGAGAAUCUCCGUAUGU